rnacentral:rRNA from 1 species
GCCCUUAAUCUUAUUAAUGGUGAUACCUGCCCAGUGAUAUGAAGUUAAAUUUAAAAUAUUUUAAUUAUAUUAAACGGAUGCGGUAACUCUGACCGUAGUAAAGUAGCAUAAUAAAUUGUCAUUUAAUUGGUGGAGAGUAUGAAUGGUAAUACGAAUACUUCAUUGUCUUAAAUAAAAUUCUUUAAAAUUGAAAUAAUAGUGAAGAUUCUAUUUAAAAUUAUAAGACGAAAAGACCCUAUAGAGCUUAACUAUAAGCUUAAAAUUAAUUCUAAGUUUGGUAGUUUAGUUGGGGCGACUAUCUUUUAUAAUAAACAAAGAUAAGCAAAAUUAAUAAAUAAUUUAUUGUAUAAUUAAUAAAUUUAACAAUUAGUAAAUUAGGCUAUAAUGACCCAUUAAAUUAAUAAAAAUUUAAUGAUUAAUAAAUAAAAGCUACCUUAGGGAUAACAGGAUAAUUUUGUUUUAGAGUUCAUAUCAAUUACAAAGUUUGUCACCUCUAUGUUGAAUUAAGAUAACCUAAUAAUGAAGAAGUUAUUGAAGGUAGGUCUGUUCGACCUUUAAAAUCUU